rnacentral:rRNA from 1 species
GACGAACGCUGGCGGCGUGCUUAACACGUGCAAGUCGAACGGAAAGGCCUCUUUCGGGGGGUACUCGAGUGGCGAACGGGUGAGUAACACGUGAGUAACCUGCCCUUGACUUUGGGAUAACUUCAGGAAACUGGGGCUAAUACCGGAUAGGAGCUCCUGCUGCAUGGUGGGGGUUGGAAAGUUUCGGCGGUUGGGGAUGGACUCGCGGCUUAUCAGCUUGUUGGUGGGGUAGUGGCUUACCAAGGCUUUGACGGGUAGCCGGCCUGAGAGGGUGACCGGCAACAUUGGGACUGAGAUACGGCCCAGACUCCUACGGGAGGCAGCAGUGGGGAAUAUUGCACAAUGGGUGGAAGCCUGAUGCAGCAACGCCGUGUGCGGGAUGACGGCCUUCGGGUUGGAAACCGCUUUCGCUCAUGACGAAGCUUUGUGUGACGGUAGUGGGUAAAGAAGCACCGGCUAACUACGUG